rnacentral:rRNA from 1 species
UGUGGAUUAAUUCGAUGCAACGCGUAAAACCUUACCUACCUUGACAUGUCGGAACCUUGGUGAGAGCCGAGGGUGCCUUCGGAGCCAGAACACAGGUGCUGCAUGGCUGUCGUCAGCUCGUGUCGUGAGAUGUUGGGUUAAGUCCCGCAACGAGCGCAACCCUUGUCAUUAGUUGCUACAUUCAGUUGGGCACUCUAAUGAGACUGCCGGUGACAAGCCGGAGGAAGGUGGGGAUGACGUCAAGUCCUCAUGGCCCUUAUAGGUGGGGCUACACACGUCAUACAAUGGUCGGUACAGAGGGUUGCCAAGCCGCGAGGUGGAGCCAAUCCCUUAAAGCCGAUCGUAGUCCGGAUCGCAGUCUGCAACUCGACUGCGUGAAGUCGGAAUCGCUAGUAAUCGUGGAUCAGCAUGUCACGGUGAAUACGUUCCCGGGUCUU